rnacentral:rRNA from 1 species
CGGCAGCGCGGGGCAACCWGGCGGCGAGUGGCGAACGGGUGAGUAAUAUAUCGGAACGUACCCUGGAGUGGGGGAUAACGUAGCGAAAGUUACGCUAAUACCGCAUACGAUCUAAGGAUGAAAGUGGGGGAUUCGCAAGAACCUCAUGCUCCUGGAGCGGCCGAUAUCUGAUUAGCUAGUUGGUAGGGUAAAAGCCUACCAAGGCAUCGAUCAGUAGCUGGUCUGAGAGGACGACCAGCCACACUGGAACUGAGACACGGUCCAGACUCCUACGGGAGGCAGCAGUGGGGAAUUUUGGACAAUGGGCGCAAGCCUGAUCCAGCAAUGCCGCGUGAGUGAAGAAGGCCUUCGGGUUGUAAAGCUCUUUUGUCAGGGAAGAAACGGCCUGUUCUAAUACAGUGGCUAAUGACGGUACCUGAAGAAUAAGCACCGGCUAACUACGUGCCAGCAGCCGCGGUAAUACGUAGGGUGCAAGCGUUAAUCGGAAUUACUGGGCGUAAAGCGUGCGCAGGCGGUUUUGUAAGUUUGUCGUGAAAUCCCCGGGCUCAACCUGGGAAUGGCGAUGAAGACUGCAAGGCUAGAGUUUGGCAGAGGGGGGUAGAAUUCCACGUGUAGCAGUGAAAUGCGUAUAUAUGUGGAGGAACACCGAUGGCGAAGGCAGCCCCCUGGGUCAAA